AUCGAACGCUGGCGGCAUGGCUAAAACAUGCAAGUCGAACGCGAAAGCACUUCGGUGCAAGUAGAGUGGCGAAAGGGCGAGUAACGCGUACUUAACCUGCCCCUAGGUGCGGGAUAGCUCGGAGAAAUCCGUGGUAAUACCGCAUAAUCUCAUGAUGUCGCAUGGCAUUUUGAGCAAAGGCUUGCUGCCUAGGGAUGGGGGUGCGUCCUAUCAGCUUGUUGGUGAGGUAACGGCUCACCAAGGCUUAGACGGGUAGCGGGUGUGAGAGCAUGACCCGCCGCAUCGGGACUGAGACACUGCCCGGACUCCUACGGGAGGCUGCAGUAACGAAUAUUCCGCAAUGCGCGAAAGCGUGACGGAGCAAUGCCGCGUGAAGGAUGAAGCCCCUCUGGGGUGUAAACUUUCUGUCAGGGUCUAGGAAUUUUGACCAACCCAAGGAAGGACCGGCUAACUCUGUGCCAGCGCCGCGGUAA
rnacentral:rRNA from 1 species